rnacentral:misc_RNA from 1 species
GAUGAAGAACGUAGUAAAAUGCGAUACUUGGUGUGAAUUGCAGAAUCCCGUGAACCAUCGAGUUUUUGAACGCAAGUUGCGCCCGAAGCCUUUUGGCCGAGGGCACGUCUGCCUGGGCGUCACGCAUCGCGUCGCCCCCCACAAUUCUCCGUAAAGGGAACAUGUGUUUUGGGGGCGGAUAUUGGUCUCCCGUGCUCAUGGCGUGGUUGGCCGAAAUAGGAGUCCUUUCGAUGGACGCACGAACUAGUGGUGGUCGUAAAAACCCUCGUCUUUUGUUUUGUGCUGUUGCUCGCAAGGUAAACUCUUUAAAAACCCCAAUGUGUCGUCUCUUGACGACGCUUCGACCGCGACCCCAGGUCAGGCGGGACUACCCGCUGAGUUUAAGCAUAUCAAUAAGCGGAGGA